rnacentral:lncRNA from 1 species
AAUUAUUUAUCUUUUCAUAGUACUUUUAAAAUCAGUGAUUUGGGGAGAAGGAUAUUGAGUAUCUAAAAGUCUUUUUUUUUUUUUUUUUUUUUUUUUUUUUUUUUUUUUUUUUUUUUUUUUUUUUUUUUUUUUUAUUUCUUUUUUUUUUUUUUUUUUUUUAGUAUUGGCAAAUUCUUGGGAAGUGUGAGAAAUCUAUUUCACAAAGCUAUACUUUUCUCCAAUGUUUAAACAGCUUGUGUGCUUAGCUGGUGCAAUUAGAUCAGAGACAGCUACGGAAGGAAGAAGUUUAGAGUGGCUCAAUCAAAUCAUGAAACUAGGCAAGUGGAAAAUUGCAUUUUGUUGCUUUGAAUUAGAUCUGAGAAGAGGAAAAAAAAUGGGUAAAGAGUGUGCGCUUCUGUCAGGGCAAUGACUCCAGGGCAGAAGAGGCUGAAACAAAGGACCAAUGCAGGGAGGAAAAAAAAUUGCCCAACUCCUUCCAGGGAAUGUAGAUGAAAACAUAUAGACACAAUUGGGAGAAAAUUUGGGGCAGGUAAGCCUGUGACUUUCUAGUCCUUUCUGCUUUCCAUAUACAUGUUAAAAGGUUACAUGGAGGAUUGCUGGAUGCCAAGAAAAGCUUUUAU